ACGGGAGGCAGCAGUGGGGAAUAUUGGACAAUGGGGGAAACCCUGAUCCAGCGACGCCGCGUGAGUGAAGAAGUAUUUCGGUAUGUAAAGCUCUAUCAGCAAGGAAGAAAAUGACGGUACUUGACUAAGAAGCUCCGGCUAAAUACGUGCCAGCAGCCGCGGUAAUACGUAUGGAGCAAGCGUUAUCCGGAUUUACUGGGUGUAAAGGGAGCGUAGACGGCCUAGCAAGUCUGAAGUGAAAGCACGAGGCUCAACUUCGUGUCUGCAUUUGAAACUGACGUUCUUGAGUGUUGGAGAGGCUAACGGAACUCCUAGUGUAGCGGUGAAAUGCGUAGAUAUUAGGAAGAACACCAGUGGCGAAGGCGGUUAGCUGGACAAUAACUGACGCUGAGGCGCGAAAGCGUGGGUAGCAAACAGGAUUAGAUACCCUGGUA
rnacentral:rRNA from 1 species